rnacentral:rRNA from 1 species
UAUGUAGGUGGCAAGCGUUGCCCGGAUUUAUUGGGUUUAAAGGGUGCGUAGGCGGUCUUCUAAGUCAGUGCUGAAAUAUCCCGGCUUAACCGGGAGGGUGGCAUUGAUACUGGGAGACUUGAGUAAAGUUGAGGUAGGCGGAAUUGACGGUGUAGCGGUGAAAUGCUUAGAUAUCGUCAAGAACACCAAUAGUGAAGACAGCUUACUAAACUUUAACUGACGCUGAGGCACGAAAGUGUGGGGAUCAAACAGG